UACGUAGGUGGCGAGCGUUGUCCGGAUUUACUGGGUGUAAAGGGCGUGCAGCCGGAGAGACAAGUCAGAUGUGAAAUCCACGGGCUCAACUCGUGAACUGCAUUUGAAACUGUUUCCCUUGAGUGUCGGAGAGGUAAUCGGAAUUCCUUGUGUAGCGGUGAAAUGCGUAGAUAUAAGGAAGAACACCAGUGGCGAAGGCGGAUUACUGGACGAUAACUGACGGUGAGGCGCGAAAGCGUGGGGAGCAAACAGG
rnacentral:rRNA from 1 species